UACGGAGGGUGCAAGCGUUAAUCGGAUUUAUUGGGCGUAAAGAGCUCGUAGGCGGUUUGUCGCGUCUGCCGUGAAAGUCCGGGGCUCAACUCCGGAUCUGCGGUGGGUACGGGCAGGCUAGAGGCAGGCAGGGGAGAACGGAAUUCCCGGUGUAGCGGUGAAAUGCGCAGAUAUCAGGAGGAACACCGGUGGCGAAGGCGGGUCUCUGGGCCGAUACUGACGCUGAGGCACGAAAGCGUGGGGAGCAAACAGG
rnacentral:rRNA from 1 species